rnacentral:miRNA from 16 species
AACCAAUAUAUCAAACAUAUGAUC